rnacentral:tRNA from 1 species
UCCCUGGUGGUCCAGUGGUUAAGACUCUGUACUUCCAAUGCAGGGGACACAGGUUUGAUCCUUGGCUGGGAAA